rnacentral:rRNA from 1 species
CUUUGGGUUGUAAAGCUCUUUCGUCGGGGAAGAAAAUGACUGUACCCGAAUAAGAAGGUCCGGCUAACUUCGUGCCAGCAGCCGCGGUAAUACGAAGGGACCUAGCGUAGUUCGGAAUUACUGGGCUUAAAGAGUUCGUAGGUGGUUGAAAAAGUUAGUGGUGAAAUCCCAGAGCUUAACUCUGGAACUGCCAUUAAAACUUUUCAGCUAGAGUAUGAUAGAGGAAAGCAGAAUUUCUAGUGUAGAGGUGAAAUUCGUAGAUAUUAGAAAGAAUACCAAUUGCGAAGGCAGCUUUCUGGAUCAUUACUGACACUGAGGAACGAAAGCAUGGGUAGCGAAGAGGAUUAGAUACCCUCGUAGUCCAUGCCGUAAACGAUGUGUGUUAGACGUUGGAAAUUUAUUUUCAGUGUCGCAGGGAAACCGAUAAACACACCGCCUGGGGAGUACGACCGCAAGGUUAAAACUCAAAUGAAUUGACGGGGACCCGCACAAGUAGUGGAGCAUGUGGUUUAAUUCGAAGAUACGCGCAGAACCUUACCAACACUUGACAUGUUCGUCGCGACUCUAAGAGAUUAGAGUUUUCGGCUCGGCCGGACGAAACACAGGUGCUGCAUGGCUGUCGUCAGCUCGUGUCGUGAGAUGUUGGGUUAAGUCCCGCAACGAGCGCAACCCUCACUUUUAGUUGCCAUCAUUAAGUUGGGCACUCUGAAAGAACUGCCAGUGAUAAGCUGGAGGAAGGUGGGGGAUGACGUC